UACGAAGGGGGCUAGCGUUGUUCGGAAUCACUGGGCGUAAAGGGCGCGUAGGCGGCUUAGCAAGUCGGGGGUGAAAGCCUGUGGCUCAACCACAGAAUGGCCUUCGAUACUGUUGAGCUCGAGACCGGAAGAGGUGAGUGGAACUGCGAGUGUAGAGGUGAAAUUCGUAGAUAUUCGCAAGAACACCAGUGGCGAAGGCGGCUCACUGGUCCGGUUCUGACGCUGAGGCGCGAAAGCGUGGGGAGCAAACAGG
rnacentral:rRNA from 1 species